rnacentral:lncRNA from 1 species
UUAACGUGGUUCGGCCAAAUUGCCUACGUCCACGGACCCACACCAAUAUAUUAGAGAAUCUCAAAAAAGGAGGAGUACAACAAAAUUACCACACUGUAUUUUGUAUCUGCCUACGCAGAGGCUAUCUCUCAACUCACUUUUAUCACUCGUGUAUAACUUCCACACUGAAGUUUUCUCUCACAAGAUUUUUCUCUCUCUAUUUCUCUCUCUAUCUUUCUUAGCUGAAAGCUUUGUUUGAUAGUUGUUUGGUGUGUUGUGUUGCUGCUGCGAGGAAGGAUUUUAUAGGGGAUGAGAGGUGGUAGGUGGCAGAUGGUGGUAGGUGGCAAAGAGUGGGAGGUGGUAGGUGGCUUACCUACUUCCAUUUUUUACUAACAUUAUAGCAGCUGAAAGUAUCUAUCGCCAGCAUAAUAUCCCAGAACUAAUAUGUUUUAGAUGGUAAAGUGCAGAAUAAUUGGACGAUUUGGAUGGUCUGAAUGCAAAGUAUUAUUAUCCCCUCAUAUAGAAUUAUUUCUUACUCAAUUUAAUACAAAGUAACUAAAAUUUUGGGGGGAAAUAAAUAGUAUAAGAUUCAGUUUCAACCAUGCAUCUUAACUAAGUUUUCAAUCUCACUAGAGCCACUUCUCCGAGAAAGAUAAAUGAAAUAAAAUUAAUAUCGGCUUAAAUUAUUU